AGAAAUAACGUCUGGUUCCUUGAUUUAGCUUCUUGACAAGUUAUCUACAAUUUAUAUGAAAGUUCUUCUGUAUCUCUUGUCACUUCCUAGCAGUUCUGAUGUAGAAAAUGGGUUCCUUCAAGUGCUUAUCCACAGGGAGAAGCUGGCUAGGGAACAGUCACUAGAGAAUAAGCAACAAGUCUCCAGUGGCUACGUGGGAAUACCCACUCUGCUUAAUCUUAUCACGCUCUUAGAGGGGUAUGUGUUUUUCCAAAGGAUACUGUGCAUUUGGUGUCUUAGGGCUUAAUCUCACGACCAGGAUGAUACAGCUUAUCAAGAUACUAAAUGGUGUAUAGUUGACUGUGCAAUGCCCAUGGACCCUGUCAAAAGCAAAAUCAUAAUAUGACUUCACUUAAUUCUCAUUUUUUUGUAAGGUCAAACAGUCUCAGGAUAUGGUCUGCAUGUUAGCACUGAGUCAUCCCCGGGGAUCCAGAAGAAUUCAUUUGGAGAAGAAAGCAGAAGAAGCUGCCCUGAGCCACCGCAAGUGAUCAAUCACAAUUACACUAGCAAGGAUGAACACUUAAGAGCCUGGUGCAAACCCCUGUGCUGCUGAAUGCUUCGACGAUGGUAUGCAAGAAAACAGGAAGGUGGAAAGAAAGGCAAAGCAAUCAUGCUGUUCAUCUGUGUUCCCAAAACUCUGGACCUUUUUGACCCCUCUGAAGCAAAACUGACACAGGGCAGUUUUUCAAGCUUUUAAUUUUCUACAGUCUGUAGAAGCAGGCAACCUGUUUGACUGGAAAUGCCUCAAGGAAGGUGAUGUGGGGAGGAGCCAAUACUUCCUCAGGCACCAGGAGGGAGCCAUUACAAGUAAUCAGGCCACCAGAAGAGCUCCAGUGGCAGCUUGUGUUUUCUUGGGUAUCAAAGCCAGUCUGCUCUCCAGUGCAGAGGUAUUAGACCAGGCUUGGGUAAUUGCAGUGCUCACAGACCACAGUAAAAUUCUGCUGUAUGCAGUCCAUAGGAAAAUGUGUGGCACUGGGUUUUGGGCUCCCAUAGCCUCCAGUUAGAAAAGCCAAUAUCUUCCAAGCACAGAUUAAAAAGAGGCCAAGUUGUGUAGCUUAGAAAGUGAUUAGAAAUUCAUUAAAGGGAGCUGUAAGUGUUAAGUCUAAAGAAGUCAUGAUCUACUUAUUGAUAGUCUGUGAAUACAAAGAGAUGAAAUACAUCAGAUAGUUUAUCUGUUGUACAGGAUGUGCUUUGUUCUAGCUGCUAUUUUUGCUAUAUAAUUUAUUUCUCCCUCAUUGAUUUUCCCUUUCAUACUGUUUCCUUCUUUUUAAGAUUAUUUCAUAUUUGUCUAUAUUUUUUUCUUAAUGCAUUAUGGGCAUGAAAAAAAUUAAUUAAAAUACUGAGAUGCUUAAACAGCUC
rnacentral:lncRNA from 7 species